AUAAAUACCAACAAGGUCAAAGAGAUGGUUUGUGUAGAAAAGGAAAUGAGGAAAACUUGGCUCUGGUUCAACUUCAAUAGUUCAUUUCUACUUCCUACUAAGAGCUUCAACUUCAAGAACUCAUUUUUAUUUUCAUCUAAAUGCAGUUCUCUUAAUGUUAGAAACAAAGGGAGUAGAAGUGGAUUGGUGAAUCUUUACAAGGAUAUGGAGGCUUGUGCAGGAUACAAUGAUAUACAAGUUAUGUGGGAGAUGAUUCACUCCAAUGUCAAUGAAACCAAAUGCAAGAAAAGGCCUCUUUGUUGGAGAUUUCUUAACAAAAUUAGAGUUUAAUACAUAUAGAAUGUGCUUGUUUCUUUCUCAAAUGAAUUGAGACCUCAUUAAGUAUAAGUCAAGUUUGCUUAGACAUCAUCUAGUUGUUUUGAUUAUGUCCUCUGUUCCAUCAUUGUGCAUUGGAUGGACGAUGAGGGCUCGUAUUGACUAUGAUAAGAUCUUUACUCAUAGUUGGUGCAGUCACAUGUAAGUCAUAAGUGGAAUGGAACUUUUGAAUUGUGGGUA